ACAAAGAUACUCCUAUUAGGCAUUAUGUGCCGAAGAUUACCUCCCAGGAGUCUAGGACAAAGGCCACACCCCUUUUUGGUCAAUGUUAAUUUUUAUUUGGAACUAUACAACAUUGCCAUCACUCUGUUAUCCUUUCUGUUUUGUCUUCAAAAUAACCUUAAUUGGUGGGUAAGGAUAUUUAUUAUUAUAAACAAGAUCUCAAGAGGGAAGACGCUUGGGCAAGGUUGCACAGUCGAUCCUGGACUCAUGGUACAAGACUCUUUCCACUCUCUGAGAGCCCCAAGUCCUGAGAAGAUGGAAACAAG
rnacentral:lncRNA from 1 species